AUGUCUGGGAAACUGCCUGAUGGAGGGGGAUAACUACUGGAAACGGUAGCUAAUACCGCAUAACGUCACAAGACCAGAGAGGGGGACCUUCGGGCCUCUUGCCAUCGGAUGUGCCCAGAUGGGAUUAGCUUGUUGGUGGGGUAACGGCUCACCAAGGCGACGAUCCCUAGCUGGUCUGAGAGGAUGACCAGCCACACUGGAACUGAGACACGGUCCAUACUCCUACCGGAGGCAGCAGUGGGGAAUAUUGCACAAUGGGCGCAAGCCUGAUGCACCCAUGCCGCGUGUAUGAAGAAGGCCUUCUGGUUGUAAAGUACUUUCAGCGGGGAGGAAGGGAGUAAAGUUAAUACCUUUACUCAUUGACGUUACCCGCAGAAGAAGCACCGGCUAACUCCGUGCCAGCAGCCGCGGUAAUACGGAGGGUGCAAGCGUUAAUCGGAAUUACUGGGCGUAAAGCGCACGCAUGCGGUUUGUUAARUCAGAUGUGAAAUCCCCGGGCUCAACCUGUGAACUGCAUCUGAUACUGGCAAGCUUGAGUCUCGGAGAGGGGGGGUAGAAUUCGAGGUGUAGCGGUGAAAUGCUUAGAGAUCUGGAAGGAAUACCGGGUGGCGAAACGCCCCCCCCUGGAACAAAAACUGACGCUCAGGUGCGAAAGCGUGGGGAACAAACUAGAUUAAAU
rnacentral:rRNA from 1 species